UACGGAGGGAGCUAGCGUUGUUCGGAAUUACUGGGCGUAAAGCGCACGUAGGCGGCUUUGUAAGUAAGAGGUGAAAGCCUGGAGCUCAACUCCAGAAUAGCCUUUUAGACUGCAUCGCUUGAAUCCGGGAGAGGUGAGUGGAAUUCCGAGUGUAAAGGUGAAAUUCGUAGAUAUUCGGAAGAACACCAGUGGCGAAGGCGGCUCACUGGCCCGAUACUGACGCUGAGGUGCGAAAGCGUGGGGAGCAAACAGG
rnacentral:rRNA from 1 species